AAAUGCGUUUUGUUUAAAUAUACUUUUUCACUUUUUUGGUCUUUUGGAAAAUCUUGUUUGUGCUGUAUUUAGACCCCUCUACCAAGAAAUUUGUUUUGCAUGCACACGUAUAAAAAUUGCGGUUUUUAUCCAACGCAAUCAUAGGUUUGAACGUUGUUUUCAAUUUAGACUUGUUUAUAUUUUUUCGCUUGGGCUUGUAUUAUAUUUGCCUUCGGGUUUAUAUGAUCCGUUCAUCCUAUUUCGACUCUUCAAAAUUCAAGAGUCUAUCCUAAAUUGAGGUAAAUUAUAUAGCCUUCCAAAUACCGUUUCGAUUCCUAACAUCACUGAAGAGACAUUAAUUGUCGAAAUCCGGAUAUGGUGUACAAAGUUUUGCACCUUAUGUUUGCAGUAUACCAUCUUUUCCGCAAGUUUAUUGUUUUCUAUUUGGUAUAAAAUUAAUAAAUUAAAUAAAGAUCCAUUUUGUUCCAUCUUGUGAUCCGUUUAUUUGGCAAUCGCCAAUGACAGUCAGCAGGGUUUAAGAACAUCAGUUGUUCGACCUGUUAGUCAAAUGCGUUUUGUUUAAAUAUACUUUUUCACUUUUUUGGUCUUUAGGAAAAUGUUGUUUGUGCUGUAUUCAGACCCCUCUACCAAGAAAUUUGUUUUGCAUGCACACGUAUAAAAAUUGCGGUUUUUAUCCAACGCAAUCAUAGGUUUGAACGUUGUUUUCAAUUUAGACUUAUUUAUAUUUUUUUUCGCGUUUGGGCUUGUAUUAUAUUUGCCUUCGGGUUUAUAUGAUCCGUUCAUCUUAUUUCGACUCUUUAAAAUUCAAGAGUCUAUCCUAAAUUGAGGUAAAUUAUAUGGCCUUCCAAAUACCGUUUCAAUUCCUAAUAUUACUGAAGAGACAUUAAUUGUCGAAAUCCGGAUAUGGUGUACAAAUUUUUGCAACUUAUGUUUGCGGUAUACCAUAUUUUCCGCAAGUUUAUUGUUUUCUAUUUGGUAUUAAAUUAAUAAAUUAAAUAAAGAUCCAUUUUGUUACAUCUUGUGAUCCGUUUAUUUGGCAAUCGCCAAUGGCAGUCAGCAGGGUUUAAGAACAUCAGUUGUUCGACCUGUUAGUCAAAUGCGUUUUGAUUAAAUAUACUUUUUCACUUUUUGGUCUUUUGGAAAAUGUUGUUUGUGCUGUAUUUAGACCCCCCUACCAAGAAAUUUGUUUUGCAUGCACACGUAUAAAAAUUGAGGUUUUUAUCCAACGCAAUCAUAUAUUUGAAUGUUGUUUUCAAUUUAGACUUAUUUAUAUUUUUUUCGCUUGGGCUUGUAUUAUAUUUGCCUUCGGGUUUAUAUGAUCCGUUCAUCCUAUUUCGACUCUCUAAAAUUCAAGAGUCUAUCCUAAAUUGAGGUAAAUUGUAUGGCUUUCCAAAUACCGUUUCGAUUCCUAACAUCACUGAAGAGACAUUAAUUGUCGAAAUCCGGAUAUGGUGUACAAAAACCUUUGCACCUUUUGUUUGCGGUAUACCAUCCUUUCCGCAAGUUUAUUGUUUUCUGUUUAGUAUCAAAUUUAUAAUUAAGAUCCAUUUAUUACAUCGGUGAUCCGUUUAUUUGGCAAUCGCCAAUGGCAGUCAACAGGGUUUAAGAACAUUUGUUGUUCGACCUGUUAGUCAAAUGCGUUUUGUUAAAAUAUACUUUUUCACUUUUUUUGGUCUUUUGGAAAAUGUUGUUUGUGCUGUAUUUAGACCCCUCUACCAAGAAAUUUGUUUUGCAUGCACACGUAUAAAAAUUGCGAUUUUUAUCCAACGCAAUCAUAGGUUUGAACGUUGUUUUCAAUUUAGACUUGUUUAUAUUCUUUCGUUUGGGCUUGUAUUAUAUUUGCCUUCGGGUUUAUAUGAUCCGUUCAUCCUAUUUUGACUCCUCAAAAUUCAAGAGUCUAUCCUAAAUUGAGGUAAAUUAUAUGGCCUUCCAAAUACCGUUUCGAUUCCUAACAUCACUGAAGAGACAUUAAUUGUCGAAAUCCGGAUAUGGUGUACAAAUUUUUGCACCUCAUGUUUGCGGUAUACCAUCUUUUCCGCAAGUUUAUUGUUUUCUAUUUGGUAUUAAAUUAAUAAAUUAAAU